GAGUAUGGUACUUUAAUCAGAAUUCAAGUGGUGUAACUAUUCCAAUGGAUAAAAUGAUACAGAGGGGUUCCAUAAACAGGAAGUAGUAUUAUACAGUACAGGAAGUAGUAUUAUACAGUACAGAGGUUCCAUAAACAGGAAGUAGUAUUAUACAGUACAGAGAGGUUCCAUAAACAGGAAGUAUUAUUAUACAGUACAGAGAGGUUCCAUAAACAGGAAGUAGUAUUAUACAGUACAGAGAGGUUCCAUAAACAGGAAGUAGUAUUAUACAGUACAGAGAGGUUCCAUAUACAGGAAGUAGUAUUAUACAGUACAGAGGUUCCAUAUACAGGAAGUAGUAUUAUACAGUACAGAGGGGUUCCAUAAACAGGACGUAGUAAAAUACAGUACAGAGGGGUUCCAUAAACAGGAAGUAGUAUUAUACAGUACAGAGAGGUUCCAUAAACAGGAAGUAGUAUUAUACAGUAUAGUCUAACAUCUGAACUCUCUCACUGAGGUUUGUGCCUUUAAUGUACCAGGUAUCCCUCCCUAAACCCUCCAUAGACCCUCCAUACCCUCCAUAUACCCUUCCAUAGACCCUCCAUAGACCCUCCAUAGACCCUCCAUAGACACUACUGUAAUGUCCUCUAUCAGAAUACAUCAACCAUCCAUAGACCCUCCAUAGACCCUCCAUAGAUAUACCCUCCAUCCAUAGACCCUCCAUAGACCCUCCAUAGACCCUCCAUAGACACUACUGUAAUGUCCUCUAUCAGAAUACAUCAACCAUCCAUAGACCCUCCAUAGACCCUCCAUAUACCAUCCAUAGACCCUCCAUAGAUCCUCCAUAGACCCUCCAUAGACCCUCCAUAGACCCUCCAUAGACCCUCCAUAUACCCUCCAUAGACCCUCCAUAGACCAUCCAUAGACCCUCCAUAGACACUACUGUAACCCUCUAUCAGAAUACAUCAACCAUCCAUAGACCCUCCAUAGACCCUCCAUAGACCCUCCAUAUACCAUCCAUAGACCCUCCAUAGACCAUCCAUAUACCCUCCAUAGACCCUCCAUAGACCCUCCAUAGACCCUCCAUAUACCCUCCAUAGACCCUCCAUAGACCCUCC
ensembl:lncRNA